AUCCCUGUGUUUCCUGUCUCUCUGUACCAGUGUAUUUAUCCCUGUGUUUCCUGUCUCUCUGUACCAGUGUAUUUAUCCCUGUGUUUCCUGUCUCUCUGUACCAGUGUAUUUAUCCCUGUGUUUCCUGUCUCUCUGUACCAGUGUAUUUAUCCCUGUGUUUCCUGUCUCUCUGUACCAGUGUAUUCAUCCCUGUGUUUCCUGUCUCUCUGUGCCAGUUCGUCUUGUAUGUUAUUUUCAAGUCAACCAGCGUUUUUUCUGUUCUCCUGCUUUUUGCUAUUCUCCUUUUUCUAGUCCUCCUGGUUUUGACCCUUGGCUGUUUCUGGACUUUGUACUGGUUUUGACCCUUGGCUGUUUCUGGACUUUGUACUGGUUUUGACCCUUGGCUGUUUCUGGACUCUGUACUGGUUUUGACCCUUGGCUGUUUCUGGACUCUGUACUGGUUUUGACCCUUGGCUGUUUCUGGACUCUGAACUGGUUUUGACCCUUGCCUGUUUCUGGACUCUGAACUGGUUUUGACCCUUGCAUGUUUCUGGACUCUGUACCCGCCUGCCUGACCAUUCUGCCUGCCUUGACCACGAGCUGCCACUCUGUACCUCCUGGACUCUGAACUGGUUUUGACCUUUUUGCCGGUCCAUGACCAUUCUCUUGCCCACUUCCUUUUGGAUGAAUAAACAUUGUAAGACUCAAACCAUCUGCCUCCUGUGUCUGCAUCUGGGUCUCGCCUUGUGUCAUGAUAGAAAGGUAUGAUAUCAGUCGUCAGUCUGAAAGGUAUGAUGUCAGUUGUCAGUCUCUAAGGUGUGAUAUCUCUCCCCAGUCUGAAAGGUGUGAUGUCUCUCCUCAGUCUGAAAGAUGUGAUGUCACUCCUUAGUCUGAAAGAUGUGAUGUCACUCCUUAGUCUGAAAGGUGUGAUGUCACUCCUUAGUCUGAAAGGUGUGAUGUCUCUCCUCAGUCUGAAAGGUGUGAUAUCUCUUCCCAGUCUGAAAGGUGUAAUGUCACUCCCCAGUCUGAAAGGUAUGAUGUCACUCAGUCUGAAAGGUAUGAUGUCACUCAGUCUGAAAGGUAUGAUGUCACUCAGUCUGAAAGGUAUGAUGUCACUCAGUCUGAAAGGUAUGAUGUCACUCAGUCUGAAAGGUAUGAUGUCACUCAGUCUGAAAGGUAUGACGUCACUCAGUCUGAAAGGUAUGAUGUCACUCCUCAGUCUGAAAGGUAUGAUGUCACUCCUCAGUCUCUGUGAGCACAGCUCUGCUAUUGGAUCCAGAAAGGUUUUAAGCAAUAAGGGGCCUUCAUUUUGGGAACAUAAAUCAAAUGACUAUUUGACUAUUCUGGACCCAACUCGAAAACAUAUUUCAUGUGCAUCAUUAUUGUCUAACGAUACAGUUUGAUAGUUGAACACCCCUUCUGAGAACAGCAACAACGCACUGUGUUCUAUUCCAUAGACAUUCUAAUACUGUGCUGGUGGAAAUAUGUGCAUGAAUUCAUCUUUAACCCUGUACAAAUAAAUUAUUGCUACUUACAAAGCAAUCCUACAGAUGUCUCCUAACUGUGUAUCAAUGCAAAUAUGUGUACAUGGGGGAGAAGUGGGAAGAAUAGGGACUGAGGACAGGGUUGACACAGACAUCAGGGUUGGGGUCCAUUCCAUUUCAAUUCAUUCAUUCAGAAAGUAAACAGUUUUUACUUCCUAAAUUGACUGAAUUGAAAUGGAAUGGACCCCAACCCUCCACAGAAUAGGGUUAGUUAUGCAUUUCAUACUGCAUUAUUUAAUGGACUCUGUUCAUCGUCAUCUCUAUAGUGUGCAGAAAACUAAGACUAAUAACUCUCUUAUCAUAUUACCCUGUUAGGAAUACAGUACACUACACACCAUGACCCUGAAGACCCACUAACCACACAUCUACCCAACCAAUCAGAUCCACUUUACCCACACAUCUACCCAACCAAUCAGACCCACUUUACCCACACAUCUACCCAACCAAUCAGACCCACUAACCACACAUCUACCCAACCAAUCAGAUCCACUUUACCCACACAUCUACCCAACCAAUCAGACCCACUUUACCCACCCACACAUCUACCCAACCAAUCAGACCCACUAACCACACAUCUACCCAACCAAUUA
rnacentral:lncRNA from 13 species